GCCUGGAACAAGAAAGCACAGACCCAAAACCCUCAAAUAUCACAAAAUCAACAAAUUGAAAGGGAAUCCAUGGCUUGAAUUACUGCAUGAACACAUAGAAAUGUUCAUCUGAGUUAGACAAUCGAAUGGAGUGAAAGAGGAAGACGCGAGUCACUCCGGAGCGCAAUCAAAACACGAUAAAGGUAAAGCAACUUGAUGGAUGGCGCUACUUGGAUCGAACACACUCAUGAUGCACGCUUUCGCGAAGCUACUAGUUAUGGUUUAAACUUUUGUUAAAUGGUUUUGUUAAAAUGGGUCUUUUGUAAGUAACUUAACCCGGUAGUUGUUAGAUGUUGAACUUGUAGUUAAAGACUAUGUUAGUUGCUUAUGAAAUGUCUGGGUUGUAAACUCUUUUGUAACUAUUUCGUUGGUUAUCACGAAGUUAA